rnacentral:misc_RNA from 1 species
AACUUUUGGCAAUGGAUCACUUGGCUCUCGCAUCGAUGAAGAACGCAGCGAAAUGCGAUAAGUAAUGUGAAACGCAGAACAGUGAAUCAUCGAAACUUUGAACGCACCUUGCGCUCUCCGGGCUUCCGGAGAGCAUGCCUGUCUGAGUGUCGCUAAACAAACAAUAGGCCGAAAGGUCUGAUUCGGAUGCGUGCCGUGGUCGGCUCCGUCUUAGAUCCAAUUGGAACGUGGCUGCCCUGCCGGCUUCCUGGGGUUUUACCGUCGAUUGUAAUCGCUUUCUUCGGUCUCUUGAAGCUGGUGCUGCGUGGUGGCUCCCCUCCGUGGUGGUCCUGGUGGCCCCGCGGUGUCUGGUAUUUAGUGUCGUGGCCUCAGAUCAGGUAGGACUACCCGCUGAACUUAAGCAUAUCAAUAAGCGGAGGCU